AUUGAACGCUAGCGGGAUGCCUUACACAUGCAAGUCGAACGGAGUGGCGAACGGGUGAGUAAUGUAUCGGAACGUGCCCAGUAGCGAGGGAUAACUACGCGAAAGCGUAGCUAUUACCGCAUACUUUUGGAGCGGCCGAUAGCGGCUUGGCUGGUUGGAGGGGUAACGGCUCACCAAGGCGACGAUCCGUAGCUGGUUUGAGAGGACGACCAGCCACACUGGGACUGAGACACGGCCCAGACUCCUACGGGAGGCAGCAGUGGGGAAUUUUGGACAAUGGGGGAAAGCCUGAUCCAGCCAUCCCGCGUGUGCGAUGAAGGCCUUCGGGUUGUAAAGCACUGUUGUCAGGAAAGCGGUACCUGCAGAAUAAGCACCGGCUAACUACGUGCCAGCCGCCGCGGUAAUUC
rnacentral:rRNA from 1 species